UGUUGGUUAUUUUUCCAAAUUGAAUUUUUAUAGUGUAAGAAUACUCUUGUAAAUAAAUUGUAUUAUUGGUAUUGUUAUUUUUGGGCAAAAUUCAAGUAAUUCCCGAAGGGGGACAUUACAACUCAUGCCUUCACCGAUCCAGUGCGUUCUUCGGUUGUGAACCGUUGCGGCAUUCAUGCUGAUGAUGUCGCAUGUGUUCAUGUUUGUGUCAGGCCCUCGUUGGACUGAUGUGCUUGCAAGAUCUGUGCCCCUGUUGUGCUAUUGUGCUCACAAGUCUAGGUUGUUAUGCGAUCAUGUUGGGGAUGAGGUCACUCGAUUGUGGCUUCACUGGUUCGUAGCUGUAGUUCAAAAAUGUUCAUUGAUAAAAAAAAAUAAAAAAAAAUAAUAAUGGUGUACUUGUAAUCUAAAAACAUUGAAUCUGGCGUAUUGUUUAUGAAGUUUUCAAUUAUGAUGAUUCAACAUUUAGAAUUGAAGACUAUUGUUUGAAUGGUUGCCUAACAUUUAGGGGUUGGACCUUCCACAAGAGGGGACAUAUCUCAUGGAUUCAUGAAGGAAGAUUGUUGUAAACAGACUAAGAGUUUGCAACUUCUACUACACCUAUAUUUUCUCAAUGGUCUCCUUUUUACUAAUUUGGUUUUCCCAAAUAGAGGCUAGCUCAAUUUUUUUUAUUUUAAAUGAAGAAACUGAAUUAGUUAAACAUACCUAGUACAAGUCAUUACAAGAAUAGUCUAGGAAAACAGAGUCGCAGGUUUUAAAUAUUAAUAUUCAGUAAAUGUGUUGUUAAUAUUUGACCUUUAUCUAGCUCUCUAGCUAAUUUUUCUAUCUACACAUCUCCUCUCCAUACACAUGAUUGAAUAAUGGUAUACUUGUACCCUAAUUUUUUUGAUUGUUGAUGAAGUUUUCAUGUUUGAUGAUUUUGACAUGUAGAAUUGAAGACUAUUCUUUGAGCUGUGGUCGAACAUUCAGGGGUUUGACAUGCCUCAUGGAGGAGAUCUCUCAUGGAUUCAUGAAGGAAGAUUGUUGCAGGCCAGAUUGAGAGUUUGCAACUUCUACUACACCCAAAUUCUCUAAAUGGGGUUGGACAUGGCACAUGGAGGGCGCCUAUCUCAUGGAUUCAUGAAGGAAGAUUGUUGCAUACCAGAUUGAGAGUUUGCAAUUACUAAACCCAUAUUUUCUUACUGGUGUCCUUUUCCCAAUUUGGUUUUCCAAAAUAGAGGCUCAACUCUAAAUUUUUAUUUGAAAAAGUGAAUCAAUUAAACAAACCUAGUACAAGUCAUUGAACAAGUGCACACAAAUAGUCCAGGAAAAUAGAGAGUCAUAGGAUUUUAAUAUUCAGUAAAUGGGUUGUUAAUAUUUGGCCAUUAUCUAGCUCUCUAGCUAAUUUUGCAAUCUACAUAUCUCCUUUGCAUACACAUGAUUGAAUAAUUGUAGAGUUGUAACCUAAGCAAUUUGAAUUUGGCCUAUUGUUGAUUAUGUUUUCAUUUGUGAUGAUUUUUACAGGAAGAACUGAAGACUAUUCCUUGAACAGUUUCCUAACAUUUAAGGGUUGGUCUGGCACAUGGAGGGGAUCUAUUUGAUGGAUUCAUGAAGGGGUUGGAUGUACCACAUGGAUGGCAGGUAUCUCAUGGAUUCAUCACUGCAAACGGAUGACUAUCUGCUACAUGUAUUUAUUUUGAAUGCAUGCCAUACUGUGUAUGAAGCUACAACUAUGUUUUUUUAGGUUUCUACACUGUUUAGGCCAAAGCUCAUGACUGCUGGUGCUAAAGUAUAUCCUCAAGACAUUGACAAUACUCACUUUUGGGAGGGGAGUUGUAAUGCCUUGCUUAUAAUGAAUGUUUUGGGAUAAUUUUUUGACCUUCCAUGAUUGCAAUCGACAUGGAACAUGCAAUUCAACUGAAAUCUGUGAUUGUGAACUGGGUCAAACUGGGGGUAAGCAUGUGGCCAUAUGUUGUUGGAGAAUUGUGCAGUUUGAGAAGGUGAAGGCUAGGGCCCUAUGGAGCUGCUAUUUGAAGGGGGAAGCAUGUGGCCAUAUGUUGUUGGAGCAUUGUGCAGUUUCAGAAGGUUAAGGCUAGGGCCCUAUGGAGCUGCUAUUUGAAGAAAUCGUGUAGUGGGCAAAAUGGAAUGCCCAUAUAAAGGUUGAAAAUCAUGUAAUUAUUUUUCUAUUCUCAAUGGACAAUUAUUAAUGGGUGUAAGAUGUAAUAUGUAAUUAGUUCUUCAUGGGUAGUACUUGUGACUAACGUAUGUUAAAUUGGGUGGGGAAAGUUUAAGUUACACUCAAAUUUUGGAGGCCAAUCUCUUGAUAGUUUGGGAUUUUUUUGGGCUUAUGGUAUUACCAUUUGGUGGUUUUCCAUGCCUCAUUAACUUUGUAUAACCCUAAACCCUAAACCCUAAAUGACAUCUUGAGAUGAUACAUUUUAUAAUAUCUAUUAUAGCUUUAUUUUA